rnacentral:rRNA from 1 species
CGCUGGCGGCGUGCCUAACACAUGCAAGUCGAGCGGGGACAUACGACGGAACCAAGUUUCGGAUGGAGGUGAAGGUGUAUGUUCUAGCGGCGGACGGGUGAGUAACGCGUGAGCAACCUGUCCCUUACAGGGGGAUAACACAGCGAAAGUUGUACUAAUACCGCAUGAGACCACGGGGAGACAUCUUUCUGAGGUCAAAGGAGCAAUCCGGUAAGGGGUGGGCUCGCGUCCGAUUAGAUAGUUGGUGAGGUAACGGCCCACCAAGUCGACGAUCGGUAGCCGACCUGAGAGGGUGAUCGGCCACAUUGGGACUGAGACACGGCCCAAACUCCUACGGGAGGCAGCAGUGGGGAAUAUUGGGCAAUGGGGGGAAACCCCCUGACCCAGCAACGCCGCGUGAGGGAAGAAGGUUUUCGGAUCGUAAACCUCUGUCCUUGGUGAAGAGGAAGAGACGGUAGCCAAGGAGGAAGCCCCGGCUAACUACGUGCCAGCAGCAGC